AAUAUAAAAUUGUCAGGUCUCACAUCAUUCAUUCAUUCAUUUCAAGCUAAAGAAUAAGUCUACCUUGAAUCUAUCUUUCAUACUUCAGCUUUGUUUUGUUUCUUCAAGAGAAGCGUUGAGGAGAGCUAAUUUCAGUUAUUCCUGACAUUUUGAAUGACCGUUCUUUUCCUCUUGGGAAUGGUACCCGGAUGUAUAAUUAGAAAGUUAAAGUGGCUCAGCUAAAGAUAAGGAUGCUGUGAACUUCACUUUUACAAUUCCUACCUUGGCCUCCCAGCCCAGCUGAUUUAAUGGGAAAGAGCCUGCCAUGGUCAUCAAUAUUCAGCAGGGAGAGAAGAAGGGGACAGAAGGACAACAGUAAAGGUCAGUAGCCUGGGCAGGAGGUGGGACUGCAUCGUUGGAGGAAAGCAGGAGUUGUUCAGGGAUGUGUUCAGGGGGAAACUGAGACGGGCGAUCAGCAUGCGUGCAGGGAGGAAGGUGAUCCCAGCCCGAAGUAAGUGGGCUCACCCAGCGCCAUAGAGAGAAGCAUACAGCUUCUUUUGGAAACAGACUCUGAGAGCUGCCGAGCUGAGGCUGCGAUGAUGUGCAAAUAAUACGUAUCAUAAAUACAGCGCCAGCCGAGACGGGGGGAGUUGGAGACCCAGGAAUGUCGAGGCAGGCAACGAGAUGUCACCUUGGCAGAGGUGGGCAUCGUCCUGUGUUCAUGCCCUGGGGCAUCACUGCCGUCCUUCCUCUGUGCUAGGACCCUGAGGACACUUGGCUGCCUGCUGGUC
rnacentral:lncRNA from 1 species